UGGGGAAUAUUGGACAAUGGGCGCAAGCCUGAUCCAGCCAUGCCGCGUGAGUGAUGAAGGCCCUAGGGUUGUAAAGCUCUUUCACCGGUGAAGAUAAUGACGGUAACCGGAGAAGAAGCCCCGGCUAACUUCGUGCCAGCAGCCGCGGCAAUACGAAGGGGGCUAGCGUUGUUCGGAUUUACUGGGCGUAAAGCGCACGUAGGCGGACUAUUAAGUCAGGGGUGAAAUCCCGGGGCUCAACCCCGGAACUGCCUUUGAUACUGGUAGUCUUGAGUUCGAGAGAGGUGAGUGGAAUUCCGAGUGUAGGGGUGAAAUUCGUAGAUAUUCGGAGGAACACCAGUGGCGAAGGCGGCUCACUGGCUCGAUACUGACGCUGAGGUGCGAAAGCGGGGGGAGCAAACAGG
rnacentral:rRNA from 1 species